rnacentral:rRNA from 1 species
AACGCGAAGAACCUUACCUGGGCUUGACAUGUGCCUGACCGGCGUGGAAACACGUCUUCCCUUCGGGGCAGGUUCACAGGUGGUGCAUGGCUGUCGUCAGCUCGUGUCGUGAGAUGUUGGGUUAAGUCCCGCAACGAGCGCAACCCCCGUCGCAUGUUGCCAGCAUUCAGUUGGGGACUCAUGCGAGACUGCCGGUGACAAACCGGAGGAAGGUGGGGAUGACGUCAAGUCCUCAUGCCCCUUAUGUCCAGGGCUACACACGUGCUACAUUGGCGCAUACAGAGGGCUGCGAUACCGCGAGGUGGAGCGAAUCCCUUAAAGUGCGUCUCGGUUCGGAUUGCAGGCUGAAAUUCGCCUGCAUGAAGGCGGAGUUGCUAGUAAUCGCGGAUCAGCAUUGCCGCGGUGAAUACGUUCCCGGGCCUUGUA